AUGGGAGGACUCCCUUGGUGUCUGGCCACCACCGAGUGCACGCCGCAGCCGUCGUCGUCAGGCUCCCUCGCCGGCACCCUCGCUUUCAUCUUCCUCUCGCCGUGCCCGCAGCGCGCGCUCCUCGGCGCCAUCGACCUCCUCUUCCUCCUCGCCUCGCUCCUCCUUGUCCUAGCCAAACGCCGCGGCUCCGGCCGCGCGGGGCCUGAGCACGAGGCGCUGCUGCCGACGCCCACCGCGCCGUCACGGUCCAUCACAUGCGGUUAUGCCGUCGCGCUCGGCGCGUCCGCGGUCUUGGCCGCGGCGUCCGCUGUCCUCCUCGCGAUCGCGGCCUUCCUCCUGCCGCCCGCGGCGUGGCGCUACGCGGAGUCCGCCUUCCUUGCCGCCCACUGCGCCGCGCACGCCGUGGCCGCGUGGACCGUGGUCGCCGCUUCGCGGAAGCCGGCCGCCGCGCACCCUCCGAGGCACCUCCGCGUCUUCUGGAUCGCAACCGCCCUCUGCGCCGCGCUGUUCUCGGCCUCCGCGGCGAUCCGCUGCGCCGGUGGCUCUCCGCUCUUCCCCGAUGACGUCCUCGCCUUCGCCGGCCUGCUCCUCUCGCUGCCGCUCGCGUACAUUGCUCUCACCACCUGCACGUUGCGCGAUGAAAGCGACGAACAGGACCAGAACCCCAGCGCGGCUGCGGCGACGCCAUACGCCACCGCAUCGUUCCUCUCGCGCGCGACCUUCAGCUGGAUCAGUCCACUCGUCUCCAAGGGGCACGCCAAUGGCUCCCUCGCCGCGGCCGGGGACGUGCCACCGGUGUCGCCGGCCCACAGCGCCGAGGCGACGUACGCUCUGCUCGCGUCCAACUGGCCGGACGCGGCGCGGAAGUGGCGGAGCCCGGUGGCCGUCGCGCUCUGCCUUUCCUUCUGGCCGCAGCUCCUACUGACCUCCGCGCUCGGCCUCGUCCAGCUUGCGUCCAUGUAUGUCGGCCCGUCGCUCAUCGACCGGUUCGUCGAGUUCAUCCGCCACGGCGGCACGCCAUGGGAGGGCCUCCGGCUAGUCCUCAUUCUGCUCGUCGGCAAGGCGGUCCAGACGCUGGCGUCCCACCACUACAACUUCCAGGGCCAGCUCCUGUGCAUGCGCAUCCGCGGUGCGCUGCUCACGGCGCUGUACCGCAAGUCGCUGCGGCUGUCCGCCGGCGCGCGCCGCACGCACGGCGCCGGCGGCAUCGUGAACUACAUGCAGGUGGACGCCUGGGUCGUAUCCGGUGCCAUGCACGGGCUGCACGACCUCUGGCUGAUGCCGCUGCAGAUCGCGGUGGCGCUGCUCCUCCUGUAUGCGUACCUCGGCCCGGCCGUGCUCAUGACGCUCGUCGUGAUCGCCGCGGUGGCCGUGGUCACCGUGUUCGCCAACAAGCUCAACAUGGGCUACCAGUUCAAAUUCGUCGAGGUCCGCGACAGCCGCGUCAAGGCCCUGACAGAGAUGCUCAACCACAUGCGCGUGAUCAAGCUGCAGGCGUGGGAGCAUACAUUCGGCGACAAGGUUCGGGAGUUCCGGCGGGCCGAGGUCGGGUGGCUGAAGAAGAUGAUAUUCUUCGAGUGUGGCAGCACCGUGGUGUACUCCAGCGGGCCAGUCUCCAUGGCCGUGCUCGUCUUCGGGACAUACCUUGCCGCCAGAGGGGAGCUGGACGCCGGCAAGGUGUUCACGGCCACCGCCUUCUUCCGCAUGCUUGUAGGGCCCAUGAGCAGCUUCCCGCAGACGAUCGCCAUGUCCGUACAGGCGUUCGUGUCACUCGGCCGGCUAGACAAGUUUCUCGGCUCCGGGGAUGAGGUGGCCGUGAAGGUGCAAGACGGAGUGUUUGCAUGGGACGUCGAGGGCGGUGAGGGCGAGGAGAAGGAUAGCGGAGGGGAGGAGCCGGUGCUGAAAGGGAUCGAGAUGGAGGUGAGGAAGGGUGAGCUCGCGGUGGUGGUCGGCACCGUUGGCUCCGGCAAGUCGUCGCUGCUGUCGUGCAUCAUGGGAGAAAUGCACAAGGUCUCUGGAAAGGUUAGCAUAUGUGGGAGCACAGCAUGUGUCAGUCAGACAGCCUGGAUUAGAAAUGGAACCAUUGAGGAGAACAUCUUAUUUGGGCAGCCAAUGCAUCUAGAAAAGUACAGGGAAAUCAUACAUGCUUGUUGCUUGGAAAAAGAUCUAGAAAUGAUGGAGUUCGGCGACAAGACCGAAAUCGGAGAGCGUGGGAUCAACCUUAGUGGUGGCCAGAAACAGCGCAUCCAGCUAGCUAGAGCAGUUUAUCAAGAUUGUGAUAUAUAUCUUCUUGACGACAUAUUCAGUGCAGUCGAUGCUCAUACUGGCUCAGCUAUCUUCAAGGAAUGUCUCAAGGGCAUACUGAAGAGCAAGACUGUCUUGCUUGUUACUCACCAAGUGGAUUUGUUGCAAAAUGUGGAUACUGUAUUUGUGAUGAAAAAUGGUGGGAUUAUUCAGUCAGGGAAUUACGGCGAUUUACUAGAUUCCUCUUCAGAUUUUUUGGCUCUUGUUGCUGCUCACCACAGUUCUAUGGAAGCAUCUGGGGUGGAAGGUCACAAUGUUCAGAACACUGAGAAUUGCCCAGCCACCACAGUAUCACAAGAGCCCUCUUCUCUUAACUCCAACUCCAGUAAUGAAAACAGCCAUACAAAUGCCGUUGUGCCGAGCAAAGAAGCAGGUUCGUCGAAGCUGAUCCAGGAAGAGGAGAAGGAGAGUGGACGAGUAAGCUGGCAUGUGUACAAGCUAUAUGUCACGCAAGCUUGGGGCUGGUGGGGAGUUCUGCUCAUUCUAGCAUUGUCUGUGCUGUCAGAGGGCUCCACAAUGGCCAGUAACUACUGGAUGUCAUAUGAAACAUCGGGGGGCACCAUAUUUGAUAUCUCAAAGUUUCUUGGUGUCUAUGUUUCGAUAGUCGCUGUUUCAAUUGUGUUUGAAUUUAUCGCCGUUCUUUUCCAAGCAUUUUUGGGGCUUAAGUCAGCCCAGGCCUUUUUCAGCAAGAUGUUAGACAGCAUUCUGCGAGCUCCGAUGUCAUUUUUCGACACCACUCCUUCAGGAAGGAUCCUAAGCCGGGCAUCAGAGGACCAGACUAAAAUAGACGUUUACCUUUUAUUCUAUACGGGUGCCGGCAUAUCGAUGUGCAUUUCGGUGGCUAGUAGCAUUGCAGUUACCUGUCAAGUAGCAUGGCCAUCAGUCAUAGCAGUGCUUCCUCUACUGCUUCUGAACAUUUGGUACCGGAAUCGUUAUAUUGCAACAUCCCGAGAGCUAACUCGCCUUCAAGGAGUAACAAAGGCACCGGUUAUUGAUCACCUCACGGAGUCCUUUUCGGGCUCUCCAAUUAUAAGGUGCUUCGGGAAAGAGGAUGAAUUUUGCCAAAAAAGCUUGGACAUGAUUGAUUCGAAUUUGCGCAUGUCUUUCCAUAAUUAUGCAGCAAAUAGGUGGUUUGGGUUUCGCCUGGAGCUAAUUGGCACACUUGUGUUGUCUAUAACUGCUUUUCUCAUGAUCACUUUGCCUACCAAUUUCAUCAAGAAAGAAUUUGUCGGCAUGUCUCUGUCCUAUGGUCUUUCUCUCAACUCCUUGGUGUACCAUGCAAUUUCUGUAAGCUGCAUGAUAGAAAAUGAUAUGGUCUCUGUGGAGAGGGUGAAUCAGUACAGUAGCCUUCCUUCUGAGGCAGCAGGGACAUUGGCAGAUUGUCUGCGUCCGACGCCAAAUUGGCUCCAACGGGGAGACAUUGACAUAAAGGAUCUAGAGGUCAGAUAUAGACCAAACACACCUCUAAUCUUGAAAGGCAUUACGAUAAGCAUCCGCAGUGGAGAAAAGAUUGGCGUUGUGGGAAGGACCGGCAGUGGCAAGUCAACUUUGAUCCAGGCGUUAUUCAGGCUUGUGGAGCCAGCAAAAGGUCGGAUCAUCAUCGACGGAGUUGACAUUUGCACUCUGGGCCUUCAUGACCUGAGGUCUCGCUUCGGUGUGAUUCCUCAGGAGCCUGCACUGUUUGAAGGAACCGUGAGAAGCAACAUUGACCCAAUUGGGCAGUACUCCGAGGCUGAGAUAUGGCAGGCCCUUGAGCGUUGCCAGCUGAAAGACACAGUAGCUGCGAAACCUGAGAAGCUUGAUGCACAAGUUGCGGACAUGGGUGAGAACUGGAGCGUGGGGCAACGCCAGCUCCUAUGCUUGAGCCGUGUCAUACUGAAGCGCAGCCGGGUGCUGUUCAUGGACGAGGCCACCGCUUCUGUUGACUCUCAGACGGAUGCAGUCAUCCAGAGGAUCAUCCGGGAGGAGUUCCGUGAGUGCACUGUCAUCAGCAUUGCUCACCGUGUCCCGACCGUCAUAGACAGCGACAGAGUUCUGGUGCUGGAUGCAGGGUUAGUGAAAGAGUUUGAUGCUCCAUCCAAGCUGAUGGGAAGGCCUUCAAUUUUCGGGGCGAUGGUUCAGGAGUACUCAAGCCGCUCGUCGCAGGCAACCGAUGGAUGA
rnacentral:rRNA from 1 species